GGAAUGUGUUUACACCCAUACUUAAGGAUUAAGUAUUUAGUAGGAUGGUCUAUGACAGACAUGUGCUAGCAAAUGGCAAAUCAGAAACAACUGACAGACCCCUGGGUUGUCCUAAGUUAAGCUUAAGCUACCAUUGUUACAUGUGAGAUACAGGAAAGUGAUGUAAAAACUGUCUAUAUAUUUUACGUCACUUCCUCUCUCUGGCCUCUUUGGAGGCGGAGAGGUGGAUGGUAGAGUGUGCUGAGCAUGUGGGCAUCUUGGGUGGUGGCUGUUAUUGUCCAGGUUUAGUGGUGAGUUUUCCUUGAUACCAUACUGGAGCAAGCUGAGCAGCCUAGUUCAGGGAUACAAAGAAAGACAGAAAAUAAUCCCUGCUCACAAGGAUGAUAAUGGGGGAAACAAUGUGGAAACAACUGUGUAUAAACAAGUUGCAAGUUGAUAAUUCCAUUAUUUAAGAGUCUAUCUGAUUUGGGGUGACAUGGCACAGGGAAACAAUUAUGGACAGAGCAGCAAUGGGGUGGCUGAUGAAUCACCCAACAUGCUUGUAUACAGAAAGUGGAGAACCUGUGUGCAUGGGAACUGAAACCUCAAUUUUUGGACCUGCAAGAAACAAGACUCUUCCUACAGCUAAAAGGAGGUGUAUUACAUAUUUAAAUCUCAUUCAUCAACUAAAGGAUUUUUUGUCAUGACAUUUUUGAUGCAGUGAUUAUCCACAGGCAAUUUUGUUUUAGAAUUCUGAAUAUUGAUUUUUACAUAUAAAGCCCCCCUUGAUAACAAUAACAUAUGAAGAAAUUCCUUUACCAAACAAAACACUGGUUUCUAAAACAUUAGAAAUUUUGGGACAACAUGUCGAUGUUGCCUUCUUGGGUAUUCAAGGUACCAUUUGUUCUCAUUAUGGAUCUUUCAUGAACCUUAUUAUUAUUCUCCUUUCAUAGGUUGUUAAUGGGGAAAGAAGGCAAAACUGAAAUCAACAAAUCAUUUUACCUGUUAGCAUCUCUUGGGAGCUGGGUGGAGAGAGAUUAAUAAAGUAUUGUAUUGGCAAAAGUUAGCA
rnacentral:lncRNA from 1 species